CUUGACACUGAACAUUGGGCCUUGAUGUGUAGGAUAGGUGGGAGGCUUUGAAGCGUGGACGCCAGUCUGCGUGGAGCCAACCUUGAAAUACCACCCUUUAAUGUUUGAUGUUCUAACGUUGGCCCCUUACCGGGGUUGCGGACAGUGUCUGGUGGGUAGUUUGACUGGGGCGGUCUCCUCCCAAAGCGUAACGGAGGAGCACGAAG
rnacentral:rRNA from 1 species